UACGAAGGGGGCUAGCGUUGCUCGGAAUGACUGGGCGUAAAGGGCGCGUAGGCGGAUGGCUUUGUCGGGCGUGAAAUUCCAGGGCUUAACCUUGGGGCUGCGUUCGAGACGGGUUGUCUUGAGUGGGGAAGAGGGUCGUGGAAUUCCCAGUGUAGAGGUGAAAUUCGUAGAUAUUGGGAAGAACACCGGUGGCGAAGGCGGCGACCUGGUCCUUUACUGACGCUGAGGCGCGAAAGCAUGGGGAGCAAACAGG
rnacentral:rRNA from 1 species